AAAUAAUUUUCUUACAUACGUGAUAGUUUAACGGUUCCCGUGGCCGUUUUUCCCCAGUCUAUUGCGAGUGUAAUAUUAUACACUUGCACACGCACACACGCCGACCGUAUAAUCUUGCAACGGAAAAACUUUUCCUUCGCGUAUAAUUUGUUUCUCGUAUAAAAUAAUGAAAGGACGACGCCCUCCAAACCCAUCCUCCUGUAGGUAAGUACGUCGCCGUCACUGUAAUAAUAUAAUAAUAACGACGAUGACGAAAAAGUUAUA